CGAUACCGCCGGCGACCGGCGCACGGGUGCGUAACGCGUAUGCAACCUACCUUUAACAGGGGCAUAACACUGAGAAAUUGGUACUAAUUCCCCAUAACAUUCGAGAAGGCAUCUUCUUGGGUUAAAAACUCCGGUGGUUAAAGAUGGGCAUGCGUUGUAUUAGCUAGUUGGUGAGGUAACGGCUCACCAAGGCAACGAUACAUAGGGGGACUGAGAGGUUAACCCCCACAUUGGUACUGAGACACGGACCAA
rnacentral:rRNA from 1 species